rnacentral:rRNA from 1 species
AACGAACGCUGGCGGCAGGCUUAACACAUGCAAGUCGAGCGCCCCGCAAGGGGAGCGGCCGACGGGUGAGUACCGCGUGGGAACGUACCUUUUGGUUCGGAACAACUCCGGGAAACUGGAGCUAAUACCGGAUAAGCCCUAACGGGGAAAGAUUUAUCGCCGAAAGAUCGGCCCGCGUCUGAUUAGCUAGUUGGUGAGGUAACGGCUCACCAAGGCGACGAUCAGUAGCUGGUCUGAGAGGAUGGUCAGCCACACUGGGACUGGGACACGGCCCCGACUCCUACGGGAGGCAGCAGUGGGGAAUAUUGGACAAUGGGCGCAAGCCUGAUCCAGCCAUGCCGCGUGAGUGAUGAAGGCCUUAGGGUUGUAAAGCUCUUUUGUCCGGGAAGAUAAUGACUGUACCGGAAGAAUAAGCCCCGGCUAACUUCGUG